UCAAAUCAUCAUGCCCCUUAUGCUUAGGGCUACACACGUGCUACAAUGGGUAGUACAGAGGGUUGCCAAGCCGUAAGGUGGAGCUAAUCCCUUAAAGCUACUCUCAGUUCGGAUUGUAGGCUGAAACUCGCCUACAUGAAGCUGGAGUUACUAGUAAUCGCAGAUCAGAAUGCUGCGGUGAAUGCGUUCCCGGGUCUUGUACACACCGCCCGUCACACCACGGGAGUUGGAGACGCCCGAAGCCGAUUAUCUAACCUUUUGGAAGAAGUCGUCGAAGGUGGAAUCAAUAACUGGGGUGAAGUCGUAACAAGGUAGCCGUAUCGGAAGGUGCGGCUGGAUCACCUCCUUUCUAAGGAGA
rnacentral:rRNA from 1 species